rnacentral:rRNA from 1 species
CAGAUGAGCCUAGGUCGGAUUAGCUAGUUGGUGGGGUAAAGGCCUACCAAGGCGACGAUCCGUAACUGGUCUGAGAGGAUGAUCAGUCACACUGGAACUGAGACACGGUCCAGACUCCUACGGGAGGCAGCAGUGGGGAAUAUUGGACAAUGGGCGAAAGCCUGAUCCAGCCAUGCCGCGUGUGUGAAGAAGGUCUUCGGAUUGUAAAGCACUUUAAGUUGGGAGGAAGGGCAGUAAGUUAAUACCUUGCUGUUUUGACGUUACCAACAGAAUAAGCACCGGCUAACUUCGUGCCAGCAGCCGCGGUAAUACGAAGGGUGCAAGCGUUAAUCGGAAUUACUGGGCGUAAAGCGCGCGUAGGUGGUUCAGCAAGUUGGAUGUGAAAUCCCCGGGCUCAACCUGGGAACUGCAUCCAAAACUACUGAGCUAGAGUACGGUAGAGGGUGGUGGAAUUUCCUGUGUAGCGGUGAAAUGCGUAGAUAUAGGAAGGAACACCAGUGGCGAAGGCGACCACCUGGACUGAUACUGACACUGAGGUGC